rnacentral:rRNA from 1 species
GACGAACGCUGGCGGCGUGCUUAACACAUGCAAGUCGAACGGAAAGGCCCUGCUUUUGUGGGGUGCUCGAGUGGCGAACGGGUGAGUAACACGUGAGUAAACUGCCCUUGACUUUGGGAUAACUUCAGGAAAAUGGGGAUAAUACCGGAUAGGAGCUCCUGCUGCACGGUGGGGGUUGGAAAGUUUCGGCGGUUGGGGAUGGACUCGCGGCUUAUCAGCUUGUUGGUGGGGUAGUGGCUUACCAGGGCUUUGACGGGUAGCCGGCCUGAGAGGGUGACCGGCCACAAUGGUACUGAGAGACGGCCCAGACGCCUACGGGAGGCAACAGUGGGGAAUAUUGCAGAAUGGGCGGGAGCCUGAUGCAGCGACGCCGCGUGCGUGAUGACGGCCUUCGAGUUGUAAACCGCUUUCGCCGGUGACGAAGCGUGAGUGACGGUAAUGGGUAAAGAAGCACCGGCUAACUACGUG